UCUAUCGUCCUCCACAUCGUUUCUUCCCCAUCGUUGGUCGCCCCCAUGGCUCCGCCCGCCGCUUGCCUCCCCCACGCUGAUGUCCACCGCCGGCCACACCCAUGCUCCUAGCCAUCGUCGGCUCCCGCCCCCAUGCCGUCGGCAGCACCCACGCUCCCGUUCAUGGCCAGCUCCCGCCCCUAUGCCCUCGGCCGCAGGCACGCUCCCGUCCGCGGCCGGCUCCCACCCCCACGCCGCUGGCCGCCCCCAAAAACGACGCCCGCUGCCGGGGUAAUGAAGCCUACGACUAUUUGGUUUUAGAGUGCCUCACAAACAACACGCUACUAUCAACGUAGUACUGUACGGUGUGUAACGGUGGUUAAAAGGCCAUGGAGAGGCUAAUGAGAGGGUUUGAAAAUAAUCGAUAAAUAAACUGCCAGUUUUGUGUUUCUUCUAAAACUGCGACAUGAUGGAUGUGUAAUACUUUAGCACCUUCGUUGUUUCUCCUACCUCUAUAUUACUUUGCUUAAAUUGUAUAAUAAGCACUACCAAGUUGUUUUGGACAUGCAGUUGGUAACAAAAUCACUCCUGUCUACCAACACCACUAAGCACAAGCAGGCCCCAGGCCCUUUUUUGAAGAUUGCUAGACUGUGGAAACCAACAAGUAAUCAGAGCAUGCAGAGAAAUAAACAAAGAUUUUCUACAUGACAAGUUGCAUGUAGUCUGGGAGCACACGCUGAAAAGUAGAUUAACAAAACAAUGGCAUGAAGUUUCCCUUGAAUUGAUGAUGCUACGAAGGAUAAUUAAUCUAGCGUGGAUGCAUAUGGUCAACAACUAUUUCAUUGUUGUAUGUGCCACACGUAAGCAAAUUAAACAUUGUGUUUCUCAUGUUUAGUUUCCUUCCUGAACUAAAGCACUUAUGUUUAGAACUUAUACAAAUGUAUAGAAUGUGUCUCAAGUAUAAACUCCAAAGAUCCUUUGUAUUUCUAGGAUAAUCGAUUGCUUAGACUUUUUAAACUCAUUCUUAUUCUUCUC